CCUACGGGUGGCAGCAGUGGGGAAUAUUGCACAAUGGGGGAAACCCUGAUGCAGCAACGCCGCGUGAGUGAAGAAGCAUUUCGGCGCGUAAAGCCCUAUCAGCAGGGAAGAAGAUGGCGGUACCUUGACUAAGAGCCCCGGCUAACUACGGUCCAGCAGCCGCGGUUAUAAGUAGGGGGCAAGCGUUAAUCGGAUUUACUUGGUGUAAAGGGGGCGCAGACGGGAUUGCAAGUCAGGAGUGAAAGCCCGGGGCCCAACCCCGGGACUGCUUUUGGAACUGUAUGGCGGGAGUACAGGAGGGGCAGGCGGAAUUCCUAGUGUAGCGGUGAAAUGCGUAGAUAUUAGGAGGAACACCGGUGGCGAAGGCGGCCUGCUGGACAGAGACUGACGUUGAGGCUCGAAGGCGUGGGGAGCAAACAGGAUUAGAUACCCCAGUAGUC
rnacentral:rRNA from 1 species